rnacentral:rRNA from 1 species
UACGAAGGUGGCAAGCGUUGUUCGGAUUUACUGGGCGUAAAGGGAGCGUAGGUGGUGGGGUAAGCCCCGCGGGAAAGCUCCAGGCUUAACCUGGAAAGGUCGCGGGGGACUGCUCCGCUCGAGGACGGGAGAGGAGCGCGGAAUUCCCGGUGUAGCGGUGAAAUGCGUAGAGAUCGGGAGGAAGGCCGGUGGCGAAGGCGGCGCUCUGGACCACAACUGACGCUGAGGCACGAAAGCUAGGGGAGCAAACAGG